rnacentral:rRNA from 1 species
GUGUCAGCAGCCGCGGUAAUACGUAGGGGGCAAGCGUUGUCCGGAAUUAUUGGGCGUAAAGCGCGCGCAGGCGGUCCUUUAAGUCUUGUGUUUAAUCUCGGAGCUCAACUCUGGUACGCAUGGGAGACCGGGGGACUGGAGUGCGGGAGAGGAAAGUGGAAUUCCACGUGUAGCGGUGAAAUGCGUAGAGAUGUGGAGGAACACCAGUGGCGAAGGCGACCUUCUGGCCUGUAACUGACGCUGAGGCGCGAAAGCGUGGGGAGCAAACAGGAUUAGAUACCCUCGUAGUCC